rnacentral:rRNA from 1 species
UACGAAGGGGGCUAGCGUUGCUCGGAAUCACUGGGCGUAAAGGGCGCAUAGGCGGCCAUUCAAGUCGGGGGUGAAAGCCUGUGGCUCAACCACAGAAUUGCCUUCGAUACUGUUUGGCUUGAGUUUGGUAGAGGUUGGUGGAACUGCGAGUGUAGAGGUGAAAUUCGUAGAUAUUCGCAAGAACACCAGUGGCGAAGGCGGCCAACUGGACCAACACUGACGCUGAGGCGCGAAAGCGUGGGGAGCAAACAGG